CCGAGUUUACAACUCCCAAACCCAAUGUGAACGUUACCAAACUGUUGCCUCGGCGGGAUUCCUGCCCCGGGUGCGUAGAAGCCCCGGACCAAGGCGCCCGCCGGAGGACCAAUACAAACUCUUUCUGUAGUCCCUCUGCGGACUUAUUUCUUACAUGAGCUUCUCGGAGCUAGAGAGAGUUCGAAAAUGAAUCA
rnacentral:misc_RNA from 1 species